GUCCGCCGCCACCUCCGGCGCCCUUUGUCCGGUGAGAUCCAUAUGGAUCGAUCCCCUCCAACCCUCCGACUCCACGACUCCUCCUCCUCCUCCUCUCUGGAUCGACCCAAUCCCGGCCACCUCCACGCCGAGCCGAGCGACACUCCCCACUCCCAGACGAAACCCUAGCCUGAGACCCCUUCCUCGAUGGCCAACCCCUCCAUGGCGGCAGGCGGCAGGGUGCCGUUGGCGGAGGGGGUCCGCGCUGUCGGGGCCCAGAUCCGCAACCGCAUCCGCAUCUUCGUAUUCUCUCUCUUGCCGGCUCCGACAGAGAGACAAACUUCCAAAUCUCUCUCGCUGCGGGCGGGCGGGCGGGGAUGGAGAGCCCCACAUCGGCGGCAUCGCGGGUGGACUUCUACGGCUUCCUCGACCGCAUGCGCCGCCCGGAGGCCGCCGGCCUCUUCCGCUCCAUCAAGAGCUUCCUCACCUCCAUCUCCCUCGACGAGCCCAGCGCCGAGGCGGACGACGCCAGGGUCCAGGCCUUCUUCGCGGAGAUGGAGGCGGCCAUCCGGGGGCACCCGCUCUGGGCCGACGCCACCCACCAGGAAAUCGACCACACGCUCGAGGGCCUCGAGAAGUACAUCAUGACCAAGCUGUUCGACCGCACUUUCGCAGGCUCGCCGGAGGACGCGGCCGCCGACGCCGAGGUCUCAGGACAAGAUCGGCCUCCUGCAGCGCUUUGUCAGGCCCCAUCACCUCGACAUACCCAAGGUCCUCAACAACGAGGCUGCAGCUGUUUGCUGUUGAUGGCAGCACCCGUCCAGACACUUGUAUCGGCGACAACAAGAAGGCCUGGAAGACCGGACACUGCAGAUAUGUGCAGUCGCUGCCAAGCUUUGUGAUAUUGUUAGUCUACCAGAUAAUUUCUGAUAUUGCCUUUUGGUGAUAACAGGGCACUGAAGAUAAAGCUUACAGAAAGAAAAAAAGAUCUUGAGGUGGCCUUUCUUCGGCAUGAUGUUAAUAUACUGAUGUUAACAUAUGCAUCUACUGUACUCCUGUGCAUGAUGUUAAUAAACUGAUGGACUGAACAGGGCCUUCGAGUACAAGAGGCUGUUGCUUGACUAUAACAGCGAGCACGACCAACAAGUUCCGCCAGCGCGAGGCAAGCGACUGAGGUGGUUGCUGCUGUGAUCGAGGCCUUCGAGUACAAGAGGCUGUUGCUUGACUAUAACAGCGAGCACGACCAACAAGUUCCGCCAGCGCGAGGCAAGCGACCGAGGUGGUUGCUGCUGUGAUCGAGGUGGCUGCUGCUGCACAAUAGUUUUAGUUGAUGUUGCCACCAUGUUUUGGUGUCUUUGUAUUUGUUUCUGAUUGUAUGUACACUUGAUGGAUCGUGCAGAUGUGCUGUUGUGAGUUUCAUAGAGUGAUUUUUGGAUUUGAUCA